UUGUGUGCGGUUGUUGUUGUUGUGCAUUCUGUGUGGUUCGAUUUCUCAUUUUGUUGAUUAUUAUGCGAAUUAAGAAGAAUUAAAGUGAAUAAUUGUGUGCUAAAAUAGUUUGAAGUGUGUUCAGAUGACCUGUGUGAUGGAGCAACAACUUUAAACUGGGGGAGUGUGAUGAUGCAAACUACGAGAUACUUUGGCUACGAUGAAGUCUACGUCCAAGCCGUCUGCUUCACACUCAAAAUCGGCGGGCUUCUAUCGGAAGUUGGCCGCCCGCAGCUGGAUAGAGGCCACCUUCCAGAAGCGAGAAUGCGUCAAAUUCAUCCCCAGCCCCAAAGAUGAGCACAGG